GUGGGGAAUUUUGGACAAUGGGCGCAAGCCUGAUCCAGCAAUGCCGCGUGCAGGAAGAAGGCCUUCGGGUUGUAAACUGCUUUUGUACGGAACGAAACGGUCCGGGUUAAUACCCUGGGCUAAUGACGGUACCGUAAGAAUAAGCACCGGCUAACUACGUGCCAGCAGCCGCGGUAAUACGUAGGGUGCAAGCGUUAAUCGGAAUUACUGGGCGUAAAGGGUGCGCAGGCGGUUUUGUAAGACAGGCGUGAAAUCCCCGGGCUCAACCUGGGAAUUGCGCUUGUGACUGCAAGGCUGGAGUGCGGCAGAGGGGGAUGGAAUUCCGCGUGUAGCAGUGAAAUGCGUAGAUAUGCGGAGGAACACCGAUGGCGAAGGCAAUCCCCUGGGCCUGCACUGACGCUCAUGCACGAAAGCGUGGGGAGCAAACAGGAUUAGAAACCCCGGUAGUCC
rnacentral:rRNA from 1 species